GGCCCAGUGGCGAAUGGUUUCCGCGCCUGCUCCCGAUAUCUAAAAUGCAAUGCGUUCUGCAGGAGUCGCUCGUUCGAUUCGAGCCUGGGCCA